UACGGGAGGCAGCAGUGGGGAAUAUUGCACAAUGGGCGAAAGCCUGAUGCAGCUAUGCCGCGUGUAUGAAGAAGGCCUUAGGGUUGUAAAGUACUUUCAUCGGGGAGGAAAAACAAAACUAAUAAUUUUAUUUCUUGACGUUACCCGAAAAAGAAGCACCGGCUAACUCCGUGCCAGCAGCCGCGGUAAUACGGAGGGUGCUAGCGUUAAUCAGAAUUACUGGGCGUAAAGAGCACGUAGGUGGUUUUUUUAAGUCAGAUGUGAAAUCCCUGGGCUUAACCUAGGAACUGCAUUUUGAAACUGAAAUACUAGAGUAUCGUAGAGGGAGGUAGAAUUCUAGGUGUAGCGGUGAAAUGCGUAGAUAUCUGGAGGAAUACCUGUGGCGAAAGCGGCCUCCUAAACGAAUACUGACACUGAGGUGCGAAAGCGUGGGGAGCAAACAGGGAUUAGACUACCCGU
rnacentral:rRNA from 1 species